rnacentral:lncRNA from 1 species
GAUGAUCUCGAUCUCCUGACCUUGUGAUCUGCCCGUCUCAGCCUCCAAAAGUGCUGGGAUUACAGGCAUGAGCCACCGCACCCAGCCCGCCUUCCCAGUCUUUACAUAGAUGCUUAGGAUUCGAGGGGGUUUUCUUCUCAUUAGCAAGACUUAGGCACAAUCACUAUGCCUAGUACCAAAUCUCUACAUUCAGGAAAGAAGGUGCAACUUAGAAAUAUCAGUUCAUGAACCAUGGGUCAUCUCACUCUUUGGGAAAAUGCAGAGUCAAGCCAACUCUCUUGAUCUUCCAGGCAUACAAAACCUGCCUUGCCUCUCCCCAGUUUGAACAGUGCUUUUGAACUUUGAUGGAAAAGCCACAUUUGGAAGCUGCAGCAUCCUCGGGAGACAGCUGGAUCAGCCAGAGAGCUUCAGAACGACACACAUCACUCUGCCAGACACACACACUGCUCCAGCUCCAGCAUCCAACAUCUGACCACAUGUCGGCAGCCACCGCUGACCUGGCUCCACCAUUUCUCCCCAGGUCUAAGCUUAAGCCGCACUGCAUUGCUUCCAUUUCUUCAUGCUUGCUCUGUUCCCUUCUACCACAGGGGCUUUGUGCAAGCUCAGCCUCAACAUGGAUCUUCCCCCUUCUUCACCUGGUCAACAGCCACUCAUUCUUCAACCUUAGUUCGAGCAUCAUCAACCUCCCCGGCUAUGUCAGUUCUCCCUGUUAGACACCCUGGCUGUUCCACAUAUCUUUUAUUCAAAGUAGUUACAUAUUAAAGCAUUCCAUUUGUGCAUACAAUUA